UGCAUAUUUUGUUAGGAAGAUAUUAAUAAAAGUUGUUGGUCUUGAUGAAGGCUACAACUUUGCUUAAUAUCUUUUUAAGAAAUUAUGCGUAUUUAAGGAGAUACUUCUGCGCAUGCGCAGAAGGGUAACUUUUUACGCUUGCAUAUUUCGUUAAGAGGAUAUUAAUAAAAGUUGUUCGUCUUUAUGAGGGCUACAACUUUGCUUAAUAUCUUCUUUACAAAUUAUGCG
rnacentral:miRNA from 1 species